CACAAUGUCACUUUGAUAAAUUUAAACUCAUGUCAUACAUAUACAACUUCUUCAUAAUAAAGUCCUGUGGUAGUAAGAGGAUUUAUUCCUAGGUAAAUAAUUUAAAAUCUACCCAUUUCUAUAAUUUUUGUAAAAUUACACAAAUUUGAUAAAAUUACAGCAACAAAGCUAUUUGAUAUUAAAACAGAGAGACGAUAUUGAAGUUUCCAAGGGGAACUCUCUUCAGCAGGUACAAGAACGCGGAUUGUAAGUGAAGCACACUUGUAGAAAGCUGUCAUGGAGUAAAAGAUAAGUUACAUUGAAGACAUGAGAUCAUAGCCCUUACAAGAGGGUGCAUCAUGAACAUUAGGUUCUCUAGGGAAGCCAUUGCUUAGUUGUUCUUCGAGUUGAAGGAUGUGUCUAGUGCAUGGAUAGCAUGCAAUUGAAACAUAUGUAUGAGUCAGAAAAUUGAAGAAGCUUCGCAUGAAUCUUUGUCCCAUUUUAUCAGGCUAUCACCACCACCCCUAUCGAUCCAACUCAUGCCUUCUAAUUAGAGUUUCACCUUCAUCUUAAAUAAACCCAUAUUUGGGUUUUCCUUCUGCAAAUUAUUCACAAACAGCUUUAGAAAUAUACCACUGCUUUCUCCAAAUUCCUUUCUUAGCAAUAAUGAAAUUUUAUAUCA
rnacentral:lncRNA from 1 species